UCGGGCAAGCUGGACAAGAAAAAGGAGAGAGAGAGAGAGAAAGAGAGCCUUGAGAGAGCGAGAGAAAAUAGAGGGGAAAAGGGAGAAAAGCAAGAGGAAAUCUGGGAAUUCAAUCAACCAUUUAUCCCUCCAAUUAUGUGUGAAAGCAAGGAGAAGGAACGAUUGACUGCUGGCUGUCUUCAUCAUCUCUGUCCAGCUUUGUUUCUUGAAGAUUGAAAGGAAUUGGAUUUGGACAAUAAUCAAUUGUGGUCAAUGGGGAUCAUGAGCGGUGAUUGGUUUGGAAGUGGAAGUUCUAAGGUUUAAUUAGUGACCCC